GGUGGCUCAGUGGUAGAGCGCUUGCCUUGUAUGCCUGAGGCCCUGGGUUCGAUUCUCCCCAGCACCA
rfam:Dipodomys ordii contig_3066, whole genome shotgun sequence.